GAAGAUAACGUUUUUGAGACGUUGAACUGCGCCGAUAAGUACGAUCUGCCAUCGCUAGUGGACACGUGCACGCGCUUCAUCCUAAGCCAACUCAAAACGGCGAACUGCCUGCAAGUUCUGGAUAAGGCGGUUCAACAGUCAUGUGCGGCGCCGGUCAUCAAGGAGGAGUGUUUGCGUCUGAUCGACGUGUCCGCGGGGACUAUCUUGCAGUCGGAUCAGUUCUGUGCCAUCGGACAAGAAGCGCUGCGAAGUAUUCUUGAGCGGGAUACGUUUGACGUCGACGAAACUGCCAUCUACUCAUCGCUUGAAAGGUAGAAGUACUGUAAUUUCAAAGCAGCUAAUUGCUUUUGUUGGCGGUCUGGGGGGCGGUUCACUGUCCCUUAAAAUUUAAAUUUGAGGAAAUGCAGUACAUACUGUAUAUCAUAUUAUGCAUCUAUUUCGAACUCGGCGAUGCCAUGUACAGUAAUUUGCUGUAGUAAACUGCAUGUUACCGUGCCUCCCAAAUUAGACGUGCCCUGCUGUUUUAUGAAAAAAAAGACGCCGUCCCGAACUUAUCGUCCGGGGCGCCUCAGUCACUUUCUGCGCUUCCGGUUUGUAGGUGUGCCGUACAGUUGAAAUGGUACAUGGUGCUAGCAAGUAAAGUACUACAGGUGGGCUGCGUAUAACUGCAGCCAAAGGAACAUCGAUGCAUCGUCCGUCAACCGACGGGAAGUGUUGGGCGCUGUGCUGUAUCUUGUUAGAUUUCCGCUACUGACAGAUGCCCAGUUACUGGACGGGCCGGCUAAGGGCCAAAUAAACCGGAGCUCGGACUGAAGCCACCUCGGAGACAAAUGACAACCAUACACGAAACGAAAUAUUUAUGUUAGUGUAGACUGGUUUGUUAUUGCAAUCGGAAGCAUGGGACAUCUUUAACUACAAGCACGCCGCCAUUAAACCGCAGCUCCCGUUUCCUGUUGAACCCCGACAAAGUGCGCGCUCUGGCGUUAUUAAUUAUACGAUUCCGGAUCUGAGGAUGCUAGACGUUGCAUGCAUACUUAGCGAUCCAGUAACGGUUAAGAAAUUGUCCUGGCGGAUCUCGGUUUCAGUUACGCCGAUGCCGCCGCAUGGUGUUCGUUGUUUGAGUUAUUUCCUGCAGUGUGAGGGUAAUCCGGAAUCGCUGGUAUGGACGUCGCAAAUUAAAGGGGAGCUGCGUGUGCUGCCGUGGAAAGCAGAAAUUGCACCUGUUAAAAUACCCAUCUCCCAUUUGUUCUCACCCAAAGAACCUCGUGGAGGAUUCAACUUUUAUAUGGAGCUCAUGAAGCUGUUGAAUCCGGUGAAAGGUUACGUCAAUCCCAUGGACUUCUCGUUGAAACUGCAAGCGGAAUUCACUGCUGAGCUUCCGUCUGGAAGCUGAAUAAACACGGUGCGCGUUAGGAUGUGGUUUACGAACGUCAAUGCAGUGGAUGUGCCAAGCGUUUGCGAUUGAUCGCCCACCCUGAAUCGGCAUGUUACGAGUGUCUUGGAUUUUCGUAUCCGUGCCUUUUUCUAAUUUGCACAGUUUUGAUCGCGCAGCAUUUUUACAAUUGAUUUCUCAGAUACUGUAGUGCAUAAUUCUGUUACUGCGAUGUACAGAUACCUUCUUUUUCAAGAUAUUUUCUCGAGGGGCUUUGUUGAUACCUGCCAAAUGAGCAUUCAAAAUUGACGAGU